AGAGUUUGAUCCUGGCUCAGAACGAACGCUGGCGGCGCGCCUAAUACAUGCAAGUCGAACGAGAAUGUGUAGCAAUACACAUGUACAGUGGCGAACGGGUGAGGAAUACAUAGGUAACCUACCCUCGAGUGGGGGAUAACUAGCCGAAAGGUUAGCUAAUACCGCGUACGCUCCCUGGACUGCGGUUCAGGGAGGAAAGCGAUACCGUGGGUAUCGCGCUCUUGGAUGGGCUUAUGUCCUAUCAGCUUGUUGGUGAGGUAACGGCUCACCAAGGCUUCGACGGGUAGCUGGUCUGAGAGGACGAUCAGCCACACUGGCACUGCGACACGGGCCAGACUCCUACGGGAGGCAGCAGUAAGGAAUAUUGCGCAAUGGGCGAAAGCCUGACGCAGCGACGCCGCGUGGGGGACGAAGGUCUUCGGAUUGUAAACCCCUUUCGGGAGGGAAGAUGGAACGGGUAACCGUUCGGACGUACUCCAGAGAGCACCGU
rnacentral:rRNA from 1 species